CUUAGAUUUUCUUUUCCUCUCUUCUUCUUCCCUCUUCCAUGUCCGAAACCCUAGCUCCCAAAACCUUGAUUUCCUCCACUUUUCUCAACAAAUCAACCAUGGAUCUUGCAUCAAGGAUGGAGAAUAAGAGGAGAUCACCACUUUCUACUGAAUGGAAUUCCGAAAUUUUUGAGGGCAUAACCUGAGAAGGACGAGCACUCCGUUAUAGCACUGUCCUGCAUUUGGAGGUCAGCCUCAACUUUUAAUGCUCGUCUUCCUUGUUAGCCUCUGUGUGUCCAAGCAUUUGGGUGAAGCCUACCCGUUUGGUGAAGUUUUGGCUUAGAUUCUGAUUGUCUAUAAUAUGUUGUAACUUCUAAUGUUU